AUGAAAGACACGCUAUCGCACGAAGCUUUCGUAAAGCUAUCGGUAACCCUGUGGGCAAUUUGGUGGGCGAGGAGGAAAGCAAUACAUGAUGAAAUUUUCCAGAGUCCUUCAGCUACUCACCUGUUUAUAUGCACUUUUAUUAGAGAACUUGAUAUCCUUUCAGUUAAAAAGGUCAGCCAGCAGGCAGUUAAUGGGGCGGGUGCACAGUGACCCAAAGCACCCCCACCGGGCUUCAUGAAAAUUCAUGUUGAUGCUAGCAUUGCAAGAAACCAGAGCAGAGGAGCUGCCUCGGCCGUGUGCAGAGAUGCUAAUGGGAAUUAUUUUGGAAGCUCCUCGCUGGUCAUCGAGGGAUUAAGCAAUGCUACAACUAUGGAAGCAAUUGCUUGCAGGGAGGCUCUCUCCUUGGCAGAUGAUCUGAUGCUACAGAACUUUGUUGUGGCGUCUGACUCAAAGCAGGUUGUGGGUGAGAUCAAUAAUGGCGCCAAUGGUGUACACGGAGCCAUUUUAUCAGAGAUAAAGAAUAGGGCUCUUUUGUUUAACUGCAUUUUUACUUUUGAAGGCCGAGCGGUUAAUCGCGACGCCGAUAGGUUAGCCAAGUUUUCAAACUCUUUAGAUCAGGGAAGACAUGUUUGGUUCAACAACCCCCAUGAUCCGAUUAUAAUGCCACUCCAUGUGGAGUUUGAUCAAGAAAACUUGGUGAUACCCCUAAAAAAAGAUGAUUCGUGGAUCCGUUCACUUCUAUAUUACAACGUGGCACACUGCGUUUCGGCUCUUGAGGACCCGGACCUGGUACAUGUGCUUGAGAAUAAUUUAGAGCAUGAUGCCAAACGUUGGAUAUUUUUGUUAUUGGAAGCUCUACCACAUGAUGAUUUCACCAAUGUUCUUGUAACUAUCUAA
rnacentral:rRNA from 1 species